rnacentral:rRNA from 1 species
UACAGAGGUCUCAAGCGUUGUUCGGAUUCAUUGGGCGUAAAGGGUGCGUAGGCGGCGCGGUAAGUCGGGUGUGAAAUCUCGGAGCUUAACUCCGAAACUGCAUUCGAUACUGCCGUGCUUGAGGACUGGAGAGGAGACUGGAAUUUACGGUGUAGCGGUGAAAUGCGCAGAUAUCAGGAAGAACACCCGUGGCUAAGGCGGUUCUCUAGUACGGUACUGACGCUGAGACGCGAAAGCGUGGGGAGCAAACAGG